UGGAAUUUUCUAGGAGGAAUCUUAAGAAAUGCUCUAGAUUUUGUAACAGCUAAUAAAAGAGAUACUAUAAUGCUGAUGGUGACAGUGGUGACCCUGAUCUACCCUGGAAAACUUGGCUUUUAUUGUUUAUUCUGUUGUAUCUUAUUAUUAAUUCCUAUUUUGUAUUCUUUAUUUUAAAAAUUGUUUUUAUUUUAGCUACACAAUUAGUUACACUUUUUUUAUUCUUGGGACCUAUAGCAUUCAAUGAACGUCUUAGAAAGGUGAUGGUAAUGUCUAGACCAAACAAAAGAAGAAUAGGAAUCUGUUCAGAACUCAAAGGGCUGUGUGAAAAGUUUACUGUGGAAAAAAAAAUUGAAAAAACUGCCACUAAGUAGCAAUGGAAGGACUUUUCCCGCUAAGAUGAGGAACUGCUCAGAUCACCAGCUGCUUCAGGUUACCAGCCCACACCUGUCUGUCUCAC